AUGUUUGGCCACGGCUAUAUCAGUGCUUGUUCACUCUUGACAAUAAUUACAUUUCUAAAUUCUCUUUGUGCAUUUACAGGUAAACAAUAUCUAAUAUUUUAUCUAAAUGACUGCUUUGUCUUUGAAAAGGUGAAGAGCCUGAGGCCGGUGACAGUCCAGUUCUACUCCAAGUACAUCCUUACGGUGGCUCACAGGACAAGGCGACAUUCCUGUCCUGCCAGAAGAGAAGAGAAACUUCAGAGUCUUCAUGCAGUUUGAGACCCCUGCCGUAUGGUGUUCAUGCAGUUUUCUACCCCACAGUUACAGCAUGUCUGACUGCCUGUUCAGCAUAUGCAAAAAUAUAUGAUGAGUUUAAGCAUGUGAUGACAAAGGCCUUCCAUUAUGGUGUUUGUCAUCAUAUGUCACAGACAUCUGGAUGAUCAUUUGGAAUAAACUAAAAACUUGUUACUUCAUCUUUUAUCUUUAUUAUUAUUAUUAUUGUUCUUAUUUUACAUUUUUCAUUGUUAGGCAUUAGGUUUAUUUAUAGUAGUCCUUUCCAACUUCUUUCCCUCUUCCAUGUUACUGUGUCAGCAUCUAUUUGGGGUUGGGAGUGGAACAGAAAGUAAGGAAAUCCAAAGUGCCAUUAAAACCAGGAGAGGUUCUUAUAUUUCAGAAGAAGGGAUUAAUUCAAAAGAAAUGACCUCAAUGCCAUAUUUUAUUUAGGAACCCUAGAGAGCACUUUGCAAAAUAACACAUUCUUAUAAUUUCACCCUCAGAUGAGCCAAGCUACGACUGUCAGGGAAGGUGAUGUAGGUACAGAGCAUGUGAGAGUGGUUAUGUCUCUUGUCUAGAUGAAGGCACAAGAGGGAUCAAUGGCAAGGUGUAGAGAUUCAGUAUCUUCAGUCUUCAGUGGACACUCCAUUUCUGGCACAAAACACCUGUAAAAGAUGGUCGAUUUAGGAGGUGACAUGACAACUUCAGCCUGUCAAACAUAGCAAUGGAGCAGUAUGUUUUAAAAAAAACAACUAAUUAAGCAUGCACUCAGUACCCUAAGAAUUAUUAUGAUAGUUAAACAGUGAUAGUUGUAUCACUGUUGUAUCAUAUCACUUCAAACGGAGGUGAUCCAGUAAUGCUGCACUAAUAAAUUAGACUAACUAUUCACUUUAGCUAAAGUUAUUAAAUUAGCUAAAGAGUUGGGAUGCUGUGUAAGACAUAAAUAAAGCUCAAAUACAAAGGUUUGGACACCGUUUUGCAUGUUUCCCUACUGUAGGGGUCUCUGCAAGCAUACAGGGCUCUGACAGGGUACAAGAUGACAACUUUGGAUUUCUACUAGAAACAGUCGAUCAUAUUUGUUUGUCAAAGCUGAAUCCAGGGCAAACUAGGCUAAAUUAGCGUUUUUAGCUACCAGCUACAAUAAACGUAAAAGUUACUGUACGACUAUCAUUUGUUAACAUGACGCUUGUUCUUAUACAUGUAAUACAUUUAUUACCAACCUGAGAGUUUAUCCGCUGGUCAUUCGACAUGACGAAUGACUUCUGAAGUCUUAAUUCAGCUCAAGACGCUGUAGAGUCCCGUCAGUAACACGUUCGGUGCGCUAGUAAAAUGUAGUUCUAUUAAUCUGCGCUUGAACCGGAACCGGAUGUAAGUCCCAAAAAACUGAAUUUUGGAACUGAAACUGAAUGGUGAGAGUGAAACUGAAAUUAUUGGAGAGCUGAAUUUUUAAAGGAUGAAAUGCAGUUUCAAAGCAAAUGAAUUCAUUUUCAAUAUAUAAAAUUCAAUUUCAAUUUAGUGAUGAUCAUUUUCAAACCAUAAAUUCAAUUUCAUAAAUUCUGUUCCACUCCCAACCCCAAAUAGAUGCUGACACAGUAACAUGGAAGAGGGAAAGAAGUUGGAAAGGACUACUAUAAAUAAACCUAAUGCCUAACAAUGAAAAAUGUAAAAUAAGAACAAUAAUAAUAAUAAUAAAGAUAAAAGAUGAAGUAACAAGUUUUUAGUUUAUUCCAAAUGAUCAUCCAGAUGUCUGUGACAUAUGAUGACAAACACCAUAAUGGAAGGCCUUUGUCAUCACAUGCUUAAACUCAUCAUAUAUUUUUGCAUACGCUGAACAGGCAGUCAGACAUGCUGUAACUGUGGGGUAGAAAACUGCAUGAACACCAUACGGCAGGGGUCUCAAACUCCAGUCCUCGAGGGCCGCUGUCCUGCAACUUUUGCAACACACCUAGUAGAUCAUUAGCAAGAGUAUAGAACUUGAAUGCAUGCUGAGUUGGCAAUUCAGCCAUUUGAUUCACAUUACAGCAGCUCAUGAGUGAAUGAACAUGGUGCAAUAAAAGUAUUUUAGAAGUACAUGUUUCCAAAUACAUUUACUUGAGUAGGUAGGGUUAGGGGUUGCCACCUCAGCAUGCAGUCAAGUUCUAUACUCUUGCUAAUAACCUACUAAUUGUAUUCAGGUGUGUUGCACCAGGGACACAUGGAAAAGUUGCAUGACACCGACCCUCGAGGACUGGAGUUUGAGACCCCUGUCAUACGGAAUAUGACAGGUGUGGUUGAACUGCAUGAAGACUCUGAAGUUUCUCUUCUCUUCUGGCAGGACAGGAAUGUAGCCUUGUCCUGUGAGCCACCGUAAGGAUGUACUUGGAGUAGAACUGGACUGUCACCGGCCUCAGGCUCUUCACCUUUUCAAAGACAAAGCAGUCAUUUAGAUAAAAUAUUAGAUAUUGUUUACCUGUAAAUGCACAAAGAGAAUUUAGAAAUGUAAUUAUUGUCAAGAGUGAACAAGCACUGAUAGUGUAAUCUACAGCUGUGGCCAAACGUUUAGAGAAUGAGAAGUGUUGUUUAUUUACAAAGUUUGCUGUUUCAGUGAUAGUUGUAUAUCAUAUUAUAUCACUUCAAACAGAGGUGAUCCAGUAAUGCUGUACUAAUAAAUUAGACUAUUCACUUUAGCUAAAGUUAUUAAGUUAGCUAAAGAGUUGGGAUGCUGUGUAAGACAUAAAUAAAGCUCAAAUACAAAGGUUUGGACACCGUUUUGCAUGUUUCCCUACUGUAGGGGUCUCUACAAGCAUACAGGGCUCUGACAGGGUACAAGAUGACAACUUUGGAUUUCUACUAGAAACAGUCGAUCAUAUUUGUUUGUCAAAGCUAAAUCCAGGGCAAACUAGGCUAAAUUAGCGUUUUUAGCUACCAGCUACAAUAAACAUAAAAGUUACUGUAUGGCUAUCAUUUGUUAACAUGACGCUUGUUCUUAUACAUGUAAUACAUUUAUUACCAACCUGAGAGUUUAUCCGCUGGUCAUUCGACAUGACGAAUGACUUCUGAAGUCUUAAUUCAGCUCAAGACGCUGUAGAUUCCCGUCAGUAACACGUUCGGUGCGCUAGUAAAAUGUAGUUCUAUUAAUCUGCGCUUGAACCGGAACCGGAUGUAAGUCCCAAAAAAACUGAAUUGUAGAACUGAAACUGAAUGGUGGGAGUGAAACUGAAAUUAUUGGAGAGCUGAAUUUUUAAAGGAUGAAAUGCAGUUUCAAAGCAAAUAAAUUCAUUUUCAAUAUAUAAAAUUCAAUUUCAAUUUAGUGAUGAUCAUUUUCAAACCAUAAAUUCAAUUUCAAAUACGACUAAUUCAAAUUCAGUUUUCAAAAGCAUUUAUUCAAGUUACAAUUCAGAUUCAAGUUUAACUUAUUCAAAUUCAGUUUCUGAUGGCACAGAUUUACAUCUGCAUGUAUUCUUUCACUACAUCCAUGAUUCUCCUCUGUGGUCUUCCUCAUUCAUCCUGUUUGGAGCUUAAUGUUCAACAUCCUUUAUCUAUUAAAAUUACAAAAGGGUAAGAAAAUAAUCAUCAGAGCAGGAAUCAUGAUAAAUAGAUUACCAGUACAUAAAAACAUAUCAUUUGCAUAAUUUCUCUGAUAACGCUGCAUUGGAUGGGUUUAUUAACGGUAGGCUGAAAUUGUACUACAGUCUGCUGAUGAGGAACUAUUUUUAGUGUUGAAUAAAAAGUCCUCCACAAUCUGUAUAUGAAUUGUCAUUAAAACCAUAGAGAUUAUUACUUGUAAAGGAAAAAAAGUGGGACAAUGCCCAUCAACAUAUAGUGUAUAUUUUUGGAAACACUACAAAGAUACAGGUAAUUCUGGGUUCACCGGAAUUGCAGAUUAGACUGGUGGACAACUGGUGACAGCAUCAGUGACAGGGAUGCCAAAAGGAAGAACAAAUUAAUCAUCAAGGCUGGAAGCAGAAUUAGGAGGCGUCAGAGUCAGCGAGGGUCAGAGGUCAAUGAACAAAUUGCUCACCUUCAUGGAUAAUGCAUCACCCUCAAAAGGAUUCAAAAUCUUGGCCAUGAAGAACAGUUCAGGAAACUUAUUUUAUUGUUUCGUCUGUGAAACUGUAUAAAUGAAAUGUAAAUUAUGUUAAAGGCAAACACAUUUGUAAGCCAUAAGAAACAAACAUGCUUUGCAUUAUGCCUUUAAACAUCUGUAUAGAUUUGAUACAAUAUUUAUUAACUGAAUUUGCUAACAUGUCUUACAUAGUGAGAGUAUUUCUUUUACUGAUGAUAUUUCAAUGAUAUGUAUUUUUUAUGACUAAAUAAUGCUCUACUGAACACACGGCAAUGACAACAAAUGUGGAAAUUUUGUAAUUUCUUGUUUAAAUUUGAUAAUAUUUUAGGCAGUAUAUUUU
ensembl:lncRNA